AUGCACGCUGGCGGCGUGCCUCAUACCUGCAAGUCGAGCGAACAGACGAGGAGCUUGCUCCUCUGACGUUAGCGGCGGACGGGUGAGUAACACGUGGAUAACCUACCUAUAAGACUGGGAUAACUUCGGGAAACCGGAGCUAAUACCGGAUAAUAUAUUGAACCGCAUGGUUCAAUAGUGAAAGACGGUUUUGCUGUCACUUAUAGAUGGAUCCGCGCCGCAUUAGCUAGUUGGUAAGGUAACGGCUUACCAAGGCGACGAUGCGUAGCCGACCUGAGAGGGUGAUCGGCCACACUGGAACUGAGACACGGUCCAGACUCCUACGGGAGGCAGCAGUAGGGAAUCUUCCGCAAUGGGCGAAAGCCUGACGGAGCAACGCCGCGUGAGUGAUGAAGGUCUUCGGAUCGUAAAACUCUGUUAUUAGGGAAGAACAAAUGUGUAAGUAACUAUGCACGUCUUGACGGUACCUAAUCAGAAAGCCACGGCUAACUACGUG
rnacentral:rRNA from 1 species